rnacentral:rRNA from 1 species
CAAGUCGAACGAUUAAAGCUCCCUUCGGGGAGUGCAUAAAGUGGCGCACGGGUGAGUAACACGUAAGUAAUCUACCCUCGGGUGGGGAAUAACGUUCGGAAACGGACGCUAAUACCGCAUAAUGCAGCGGCACCGCAAGGUGACAGUUGUUAAAGAUUUAUUGCCUGGGGAGGAGCUUGCGGCAGAUUAGCUUGUUGGUAAGGUAACGGCUUACCAAGGCUACGAUCUGUAUCCGGUCUAAGAGGACGGUCGGACACACUGACACUGAAUAACGGGUCAGACUCCUACGGGAGGCAGCAGUCGGGAAUUUUGGGCAAUGGGGGAAACCCUGACCCAGCAACGCCGCGUGAAGGAUGAAGUAUUUCGGUAUGUAAACUUCGAAAGAAUAGGAAGAAUUAAUGACGGUACUAUUUAUAAGGUCCGGCUAACUACGUGCCAGCAGCCGCGGUAAUACGUAGGGACCAAGCGUUGUUCGGAUUUACUGGGCGUAAAGGGCGCGUAGGCGGCGCGGUAAGUCACUUGUGAAAUCUCUGAGCUUAACUCAGAACGGCCAAGUGAUACUGCAGUGCUAGAGUGUGGAAGGGGCAAUCGGAAUUCUUGGUGUAGCGGUGAAAUGCGUAGAUAUCAAGAGGAACACCUGAGGUGAAGACGGGUUGCUGGGCCAACACUGACGCUGAUGCGCGAAAGCCAGGGGAGCAAACGGGAUUAGAUACCCCGGUAGUCCUGGCCCUAAACGAUGAAUACUUGGUGUCUGGAGUUUUAAUGCUCCGGGUGCCGUCGCUAACGUUUUUAGUAUUCCGCCUGGGGAGUACGCUCGCAAGAGUGAAACUCAAAGGAAUUGACGGGGACCCGCACAAGCGGUGGAGCAUGUGGUUUUAAUUCGACGCACCGCGAAGAACCUUACCUGGACUA